rnacentral:rRNA from 1 species
CGAACGGGUGAGUAACACGUGGGCAACCUGCCCCUGGCUCUGGGAUAACUCCAAGAAAUUGGGGCUAAUACCGGAUAUGACCGCUGACCGCAUGGUCUGGUGGUGGAAAGAUUUAUCGGCUGGGGAUGGGCCCGCGGCCUAUCAGCUUGUUGGUGGGGUAGUGGCCUACCAAGGCGACGACGGGUAGCCGGCCUGAGAGGGUGACCGGCCACACUGGGACUGAGACACGGCCCAGACUCCUACGGGAGGCAGCAGUGGGGAAUAUUGCGCAAUGGGCGAAAGCCUGACGCAGCGACGCCGCGUGGGGGAUGACGGCCUUCGGGUUGUAAACCUCUUUCAGCAGGGACGAAGCGACAGUGACGGUACCUGCAGAAGAAGCACCGGCCAACUACGUGCCAGCAGCCGCGGUAAUACGUAGGGUGCAAGCGUUGUCCGGAAUUAUUGGGCGUAAAGAGCUCGUAGGCGGUUUGUUGCGUCGGCUGUGAAAUCCCGAGGCUCAACCUCGGGUCUGCAGUCGAUACGAGCAAACUAGAGUGUUGCAGGGGAGACUGGAAUUCCUGGUGUAGCGGUGAAAUGCGCAGAUAUCAGGAGGAACACCGGUGGCGAAGGCGGGUCUCUGGGCAACAACUGACGCUGAGGAG